rnacentral:rRNA from 1 species
CUGGCCUUGGCAUCCAGAGAGCUUAGCAGAGAUGCUUUGGUGCCUUCGGGAACUCUGAGACAGGUGCUGCAUGGCUGUCGUCAGCUCGUGUUGUGAAAUGUUGGGUUAAGUCCCGCAACGAGCGCAACCCUUAUCCUUUGUUGCCAGCGGCUCGGCCGGGAACUCAAAGGAGACUGCCGGUGAUAAACCGGAGGAAGGUGGGGAUGACGUCAAGUCAUCAUGGCCCUUACGGCCAGGGCUACACACGUGCUACAAUGGCGCAUACAAAGAGAAGCGACCUCGCGAGAGCAAGCGGACCUCAUAAAGUGCGUCGUAGUCCGGAUUGGAGUCUGCAACUCGACUCCAUGAAGUCGGAAUCGCUAGUAAUCGUAGAUCAGAAUGCUACGGUGAAUA